GAGAGGAGAGUAGAAAGAGAGGAGAGAGGAGGAGAGAGGAUAGUAGAGAGAGAGGAGAGGAGUUUAGAAAGAGAGGAGAGAGAAGGCGAGAGGAGAGAAGAGAGAGAGGAGAGAGGAGAGAGGAGGAGAGAAGAGGAGUGAGAGGAGAGUAGAGUAGAGAGGAGAGUAGAAAGAGAGAAGAGAGGAGGAGAGAGGAGAGAGAGGAGAGUAGAAAGACAUGAGGAGAGGAGUGAGAGGAGAGUAGAGUAGAGAGGAGAGUAGAAAGAGAGGAGAGAGGAGGAGAGGGGAGAGUAGAAAGAGAGUAGAGUAGAAAGAGAGUAGAAAGAGAGGAGAGUAGAAAGAGGAGAGUAGAAAGAGGAGAGAGGAGAGAAGAGAGUAGAAAGAGAGGAGAGAGGAGAGAAGCGAGAGGAGAGAGGAGAGUAGAAAGAGAGGAGGGUAGAAAGAGAGUAGAAAGAGAGGAGAGGAGAUUUUGGAGAGUAGAGAGAGCGUGGAGAGUUCGAGGAGAGAGAAAAAGAGAAAGAGGGAUAGAAAGACAGACCCAGUCAAACUCAAUAGCGUGACAGAGAUAAAUGGAGAUAGUAACCUUAGUGCAAAGCAGGAGGAGAACGACACAACAAAAGACUUGAGAAUUGUCUCUAUGAAAUGACCUCCAGCAACAUUUCCAACUCAGCCAGCUGAGGAGCAGAGUCAGCUGUUGUCCAGGAGGAUCCUACUUCUCUGCUUCAGACUACUGAAGCAAUGGAAACGUGAUCAUGAAUCUACCUGUUGAGGUAUGGGGAUUCAGCUGAGGAGCAGAGUCAGCUGUGGUCCAGGAGGAUCCUACUUCUCUGAUUCAGACUACAGAGGCAAUGGAAACAGCAGAGGGAAGAGGAUACUGCUAAUCAUGACGAGAUGGAGAGAGUAAAGAGAACAAAAUAUCCCUCUCGUGUGACCAAACUCCAGUCUUGAAGACAAUGGAAAUCAGACAGCCUGUAAUUUCUCCAGCACCCUCUACCACAGUAAUCACAACUGUAUCAGGGAGCAGGGGAGAGGAGUGAUUCAGCACAUAACUCACCCUCUCCCAACCGCCGCACUACUGACCAUAUACACACACACCUUACACACGCUAAUUAAUAAACACGUCCACCCUCCUAAAAGAGAUGGCAAAAUCGUUGCUUGCUUUAUUGAAUUUAAAAAAUCAUUCCAUUCGGCACAAAGUUCUAUUGUUCAAAAUUCUCCAAAGUGGGCUUGAUGGUAAAGGUUUAUGACUUAAUAAACUACAUGCACACAGAAAAUCAAAACCCAAAGAAUAUCAUUAUUUCCGUGAGGUGUGAGACAAGGCUGCAGUUUGAGUCCAAACCUUUUCACCAUUUUCAUCAAUGAAUUAGCAGACAUGUUGUACCGUUCUGCAGCCCCAGGACACUAUGUGGCACUGAGGUAAAACACCUGCUAUAUACUGCUGAUCUGGAUCUUCUAUCACCAACCACUCUGUCAGAGAUACGAAGCAGAGACCCAUCCUUACCAAGUACAGGCUGAGUGACCACCGAUUGGCCUUAGAAACCGGCAGACAUAAAAAGACAUGGCUACCCAAACAGGAGUGUGUGUGUGGUCACCUCACACCAAGGGAGGUAGAGACAGAGAUAUACUUUCUCCACUACAGUGAGAAAUAUUCCUCACCAAGAGAUUCAUUAUUCUCAGAAAACACUAAACAUGUUAUCUUACUACUCCCAGAGGAAAAACAAAGAUACUACAAAUAGUGGGACAAGUAGUAGGUGUGACGGCAUAGUAGUAGUAAUGAUGAUGAUGAAAAAUGGUGGUGGUAUGGCAGUAGAGGUAAUGAUGAUGAUAAUGGUGGUGAUAUGGCAGUAGAGGUAAUGAUGAGGAUAAUGGUGAUGGUAUGGUAGUAGAGGUAAUGAUGAUGAUAAUGGUGGUGGUAUGGUAGUAGAGGUAAUGAUGAUGAUAAUGGUGGUGGUAUGGUAGUAGAGGUAAUGAUGAUGAUAAUGGUGGUGGUAUGGUAGUAGAGGUAAUGAUGAUGAUAAUGGUGGUGGUAUGGUAGUAGAGGUAAUGAUGAUGAUAAUGGUGGUGGUAUGGUAGUAGAGGUAAUGAUGAUGAUAAUGGUGGUGGUAUGGUAGUAGAGGUAAUGAUGAUGAUAAUGGUGGUGGUAUGGUAGUAGAGGUAAUGAUGAUGAUAAUGGUGGUGGUAUGGUAGUAGAGGUAAUGAUGAUGAUAAUGGUGGUGGUAUGGUAGUAGAGGUAAUGAUGAUGAUAAUGGUGGUGGUAUGGUAGUAGAGGUAAUGAUGAUGAUAAUGGUGGUGGUAUGGUAGUAGAGGUAAUGAUGAUGAUAAUGGUGGUGGUAUGGUAGUAGAGGUAAUGAUGAUGAUAAUGGUGGUGGUAUGGUAGUAGUAGUAAUAGUGUUGGUAAUUGCAGUACAGAUGUAAUUGUGAUGACAGUUGGUGGUAAUAGUAGUAGUAGUAGUAGUAGUAGUAGUAGUAGUAGUAGUAAUGAAGGUGGUAGUUGCUGUACUGAUGUAAUUGUGAUGACAGUUGGUGGUAAUGGCAGUAGUAGUAGUAGUAGUAGUAGUAGUAGUAGUAGUAGUAGUGGUGGUGGUAAUGGCAGUAGUAGUAGUAGUAGAAGUAGUAGUAGUAGUAGUAGUAGUAGUAGUAGUAGUAAUGGCAGUAGUAGUAGUAGUAGUAAUGAAGGUGGUAGUUGCAGUACUGAUGUAAUUGUGAUGACAGUUGGUGGUAAUGGUAGUCGUAAGGAUAGCUAUAGUUUUAGUGUUAAUAAUAGUGGUGGUAGCAUUCGUUUUAGUGGUAAUAAUAGUGGUGGUAGCAUUAGUUUUAGUGGUAGCAUUAGUUUUAGUGGUAAUAAUAGUGGUGGUAGCAUUCGUUUUAGUGGUAAUAAUAGUGGUGGUAGCAUUCAUUUUAGUGGUAAUAAUAGUGGUGGUAGCAUUCGUUUUAGUGGUAAUAAUAGCAGCAUAUUCAUUUUCCAUGUUUGACCUUUUAUUGUCCCUGUUAUGUACUCUGUUAUUCUAGUACAAUUUACCGCUAUCAUUAUACUGCUGUUAUUUAUAUUAGUUCAUUAUUAC